UCCGGUUUGGCACCAGCAGUCUCCCUAGAGUUCCCGGCAUGAUCCGCUGGCAACUAAGGACAGGGGUUGCGCUCGUUGCGCCACUUAAGGCAACACCUCACGACACGAGCAGACGACAGCCAUGCAGCACCUGUCUCCGGUCCAGCCGAACUGAAGAACUCCAUCUCUGGAGUCCGCGACCGGGAUGUCAAGGGCUGGUAAGGUUCUGCGCGUUGCGUCGAAUUAAACCACAUGCUCCACCGCUUGUGCGGGCCCCCGUCAAUUCCUUUGAGUUUCAGCCUUGCGGCCGUACUCCCCAGGCGGGGCACUUAAUGCGUUAGCGCCGGCACCCAGGGGGUCGCUCCCCCAGGCACCUAGUGCCCAUCGUUUACGGCGUGGACUAC
rnacentral:misc_RNA from 1 species